AUCGAUACAAGACUCUGGCAGGAUCCGGGGGCAAAGAUGUCCGUUGGUGCGGUGGAGCGUAGUAUCGUCAGUCGCUCGGCCGGACGUGUUUGUGAGUAAAUAUCAGCUGGAUGCGCAGCGCGAUUCUGCGACGGCGUGCCGACGUGCGAGCGCGACGACAGUAGGGACGAUCCUCACGACGGCCGUGUGCGCGAGAGAGCCGCGAGCAUGGGCCUCUUCCCGACCUCCUCGCCCUUCGACGCUGAUGUCGAAAAGGCAACCAACGAGAAUAAUGUGACGGAAGAAUGGGGAAAGAUAAUGGACAUCUGUGACAAAGUAGGUACCUCCAGUCAAAACGCCAAGGACUGUUUGCGUUCUAUCGUUAAGAGAUUAUACUGUCAGGACCCUCAUGUGGUCAUGCAAGCUAUAACAUUGUUGGAUGCCUGUGCCAGCAAUUGUGGAAAAAUUUUCCACUUGGAAAUUGCGUCCAGAGAUUUUGAAAAUGACCUGAGAAAGCUUAUUAAUCAUCCGCAGUCAAAAAUAGUAGAUAAAAUUAAGGCGCUCUUAAAAAAAUGGGUGGAGGGUGAUUUUAAGACAGAUCCGCAAUUGAAUCUAAUCCCAAGUUUGUAUAAUAAACUCAGAAGUGAAGGCCAUGACUUUUCCUCUGUCUCAGAUACGCCAAAACGUUCUAGCACUCUGAGCAGAGAUCCUAAUGUAGUAACAAAUUCACAAGAAGAAUCAGAUAUUGCAAAAGCCAUACAACUUUCAUUGCAAGAAAGUAAAGUUCAUACUCAAAGCACUUCGUCGCAUAGCUCACCAGCCUCCAAAAAAAGUACUAGUUUAUAUCCUAGUGUAAAUUCGGUACUUGGAGCAAGUAGCACCUCUCAGGAAGGCAGAAAAGUACGUGCUCUGUAUGAUUUUGAAGCUGCUGAGGAUAACGAAUUGACAUUCUUAGCAGGAGAAAUAAUUAAUAUUUUGGAUGAUUCUCAUCCAAAUUGGUGGAAGGGCAGCAAUCAAAGAGGCGAAGGACUUUUUCCCUCUAACUUUGUUACUGCUGAUUUGUCUGUUGAACCAGAAGAGUUUACAAAAUUGGAACAUAGUAACAAAAAAUUAGUCCAAUUUGCGGAAGAAGUAGAAGUAAAAAUGGUCAAACGUGAGCCAGAAGUGGUGGAAGUUGAAAUAGAUGAAAAGAAAAUGGAUAGAUUAUUACAUCUGUUUCAUGAAGCUGAUCCACAAUGUGAUACCUCCGAUCCUCAGGAAAUGCUUGAUUUAGAAGAACAAGUUACGGCGAUGGGACCUUUGAUUGACGCAGCUUUGGAAAAAGUGGAUAGGCGGCAUGCACAGCUUACGCAAUUAAGUUCUGAUUUGGUUGACGCUCUUAAUCUGUACCAUACCCUGAUGAGAGAACCUCCGACACCGUCUGGCUACACUCUGCCUAAAAUGCAGCCACAUAUAAAUCCUUAUCCAUUCCACAAUCCGGGACCACCACCAACGCACAUGUUUAAUGGUAUGCCGCCUUCUCCGUUUCCCACUGGUGCCGGCUCGGGCCCGGUGGGGCCGUAUAACGCGAGUUUGCCGAGCCACGAAUACAUGGGUCCUACCAGUAUGCCAAACAUCUCAUUACCCCCACAUUUUCACGUGCAAUCUGGACCCCAUCAACAUCCGCCUGGACCUCCACAAGGGUCAUCUUUACCGCCGCCUGAUCAAAAUAAUCUCCCUUAUCAACCACAAGGGAAUUGAUUCUUUUUAAGGAUCAACUGCAUCCGAAAUCGAGCGAUGUGAUUUUAUACGGAGAGAAAUCUUAAGUAUUCUAUAAGGCAUGCAUCACGAGCCGACGCCGCGUCGCGGCUAUUACGCGAGCAUGCUUAACAGGUGUUCGAGAAGUUACCGGAGCUGCAGGCAAAAGUGUUACAUCAGCGCGAAGACGAUGCACGAUUGUUGUACAUAUCCGUAGACCGUGGAAACUCCGAGAAUGGAACUCGGGCCUUAACCACGAGUUGCAGCACGGAUGACAUUGACUAGCCUGUUACCAGUCUACGGCGUCUAUGUUACCACUUGGUGAAAGUUGACGAAGCGCAUCUUCAAGGUUAUCGCCUCCAGAGAAUCGUCUCCGCUCGCGAGUAACGUUUUCUGAAAUUCGGUAACACCAACAGACAUUAAUCAAUUACAGGUGGAAUCGCGAUCUUUUCCUCAAAACGACUGUAAAUGCGAUAAAACAUACAGAUAAUAUCAUCACGCGACGUGCGAAAAGAACGAGUGGUGCCUUAAUAGCCGGGAACGUUAAUUGCUCCAUUGUGCGUUUCAAUUACUCGAUACGAGCGAGUAACAGGUUUUGAGCUCGAGCGCGAAACAAUGUCGAUAAUAAUUUAAUAAGGUUUAACGCGGUUGGUGACUACCGCACAAUGCACAGCACAGAUAUCGUCAUUUAAUAGUAUGAUCUAGACUAGAGAGUGUUAUUUAUGCUUGAGCUACGCUUGUAAAAAAUAAUGAAUAAAUAUUAUCAGCGUGCUAAUAACUUCAUAAUUUGAGCGAAUUAAAGAUUAUUCAAGAUAUUAAUAUACGUAGAUAUUAAAAUUAUUUUUAUUUUAACCUUAUAUGUAUUAAUAUUAAUAAAAAUUUGCGUGCCCUCGUGACAUAACUGAUUUUAUAUACGCUUCCUAAACGAUUAUAAAACUUCAAAUACGUUGAGGAAAUAUAUAUAAAAUGCAUAUUAAUAUGUGCUAUUGGGUGAGGUUUAAUGAUAGAUAUUUAAUUAUAUCAUGAAAUUAACAUUUGUUCUUAAUUUUGUGGCAAAUUAAGACAUUUAAUGCUUCUCAAAUACUCGAUAAAAAUAUAGUCUUACAUGUUUCUUGUAUUAUUAUAUAUAAACUAAAAUUAUAUAGAAAUGUCUUGCAUAUAUGUAAUAUUUAGAUAAAGUAUGUAUAUAUGAUCACGUGAAGAGUAUGAAGAAAAUGAUGUUAACUUUUGAAAUUCAUAUUUAAUUUAUCGACUUUUACAUGUGCUUGUUAUGUCUUCAUCAUUUAAUGUAAUGUAAAUGACCUCAACAAUAAACGAAUUCAAUAAUCAUCGUGUCGCUGUUCCAUCAAAGAAAGAGAAUUUCGUUUUGUUAUGCUCAAAAGACC